rnacentral:rRNA from 1 species
AGCGAACCGGGGGAACUGAAACAUCUAAGUACCCCGAGGAAAAGAAAUCAACCGAGAUUCCCCCAGUAGCGGCGAGCGAACGGGGAGCAGCCCAGAGUCUGAAUCAGCUUGUGUGUUAGUGGAACGGUCUGGAAAGUCCGACGGUACAGGGUGAUAGUCCCGUACACCAAAAUGCACAGGUUGUGAACUCGAAGAGUAGGGCGGGACACGUGGUAUCCUGUCUGAAUAUGGGGGGACCAUCCUCCAAGGCUAAAUACUCCUGACUGACCGAUAGUGAACCAGUACCGUGAGGGAAAGGCGAAAAGAACCCCGGCGAGGGGAGUGAAAAAGAACCUGAAACCGUGUACGUACAAGCAGUGGGAGCCUCUUUAUGGGGUGACUGCGUACCUUUUGUAUAAUGGGUCAGCGACUUAUAUUCUGUAGCAAGGUUAACCGUAUAGGGGAGCCGAAGGGAAACCGAGUCUUAACUGGGCGUUAAGUUGCAGGGUAUAGACCCGAAACCCGGUGAUCUAGCCAUGGGCAGGUUGAAGGUUGGGUAACACUAACUGGAGGACCGAACCGACUAAUGUUGAAAAAUUAGCGGAUGACUUGUGGCUGGGGGUGAAAGGCCAAUCAAACCGGGAGAUAGCUGGUUCUCCCCGAAAGCUAUUUAGGUAGCGCCUCGUGAACUCAUCUUCGGGGGUAGAGCACUGUUUCGGCUAGGGGGUCAUCCCGACUUACCAACCCGAUGCAAACUGCGAAUACCGAAGAAUGUUAUCACGGGAGACACACGGCGGGUGCUAACGUCCGUCGUGAAGAGGGAAACAACCCAGACCGCCAGCUAAGGUCCCAAAGUCAUGGUUAAGUGGGAAACGAUGUGGGAAGGCACAGACAGCCAGGAUGUUGGCUUAGAAGCAGCCAUCAUUUAAAGAAAGCGUAAUAGCUCACUGGUCGAGUCGGCCUGCGCGGAAGAUGUAACGGGGCUAAACCAUGCACCGAAGCUGCGGCAGCGACACUAUGUGUUGUUGGGUAGGGGAGCGUUCUGUAAGCCGUUGAAGGUGUGCUGUGAGGCAUGCUGGAGGUAUCAGAAGUGCGAAUGCUGACAUAAGUAACGAUAAUGCGGGUGAAAAACCCGCACGCCGGAAGACCAAGGGUUCCUGUCCAACGUUAAUCGGGGCAGGGUGAGUCGACCCCUAAGGCGAGGCCGAAAGGCGUAGUCGAUGGGAAACAGGUUAAUAUUCCUGUACUUGGUGUUACUGCGAAGGGGGGACGGAGAAGGCUAUGUUAGCCGGGCGACGGUUGUCCCGGUUUAAGCAUGUAGGCGGAGGUUCCAGGUAAAUCCGGUACCUUUUUAACGCUGAGGUGUGAUGACGAGGCACUACGGUGCUGAAGUAACAAAUGCCCUGCUUCCAGGAAAAGCCUCUAAGCAUCAGGUAACACGAAAUCGUACCCCAAACCGACACAGGUGGUCAGGUAGAGAAUACCAAGGCGCUUGAGAGAACUCGGGUGAAGGAACUAGGCAAAAUGGUGCCGUAACUUCGGGAGAAGG